rnacentral:tRNA from 1 species
GAGCGUGUAAGCUGAGAGGCAAGCAACCGGCGUAAAAUCCCGGUGACUCGCGGGUUCGAUUCCCGUCACGCUCU